UAUUAGAGGCAGGGGUGCUUUUUAACAAAGAAUUUCUUCAGUGAUCUUUGCCUCUUCGCAGGAUCCUGAUACUGAGAGAAUUUCUUAAUUGUGGUUGAUCUAAGCGAUGUGCUGUAUCUAAAAAUAUUUAUUACAAAAGCCUAACAUACAGCCUCAUAGUAGACUUUAUCAAGAAGUCCCAAGAAAGCAAAACAUGUAUGCCUUUUAUAAAUCAGUCAACAAAUAUCCUACGCAGGAAGUUCACCUUCUGAGUACCUUUAUAUUAUUUUUACUGUAAACUGUUUUCUUCUUGGUCCUUUUUGAGUAAGUUAUAUAAUCGUAUCUUGUAACAUCUGAAUACUGUAUCAUACCAAUUUCAAGAUUUCAGAUCUUCCUUAUGAAAAAACGUAAAACCAAAACAAGGAGGAAAGCAACACCGUGUCUCCUGCUCUUUCCAGGGUUCGGCCAAAAUUCACGUUCCAGAUCUGUCCUGAGUAACUAAAUACAAGAUUUUUAUUUAUGGCUGUUUUUCACUGAAGUAUAUAAAAGCAGGUAGAUACAGUUAACGACUACUUAAAGUUUCUUUAUAUACUGCAUGCCAACAAAAGGGAGGAAGCAUGCACGUUCUUCUUUGUCUGCACUGUAUAAUUGCGAACCAGUUACCCAGGAAGGAGAUUUUUCAAGGGAAUCUUGAAUGUUUUCUCUUAAGACAUCACAUACGCCUCUUCACCUAUAUGGGCUUUCUCAGAAAAAUGCAAGGCUUUCAUACAAAGCAGGAAUGGAUCUAGAAUAAAAAUGACAAUGUAUGUUAUUGCUUCUUUAAAAUAUUACAUGCUCAUUAUCUAAGGAUAUGUUUGAAAGUGCUUGAUUUGAAAGUGCUCUGACUGCUUGGCUUUCCAUUGAAGUAGAGAUGCUGCUCUUGAAUUUGCUGCUAGAAGAUGUACUAAGAGGGUACACUUGAAGAGCUGCACUUUUACAGACCUUUCAGCUGAAGAACAGAAUUUCCAUACUAUUCAAAAACAGUUGGAAUGUACAUAAAAAUGAGACGCAUUCAUAUUAUUGUUGUAUUUUUUACAAUGUAUGAUCCUAUAAUUAGAAGAAAAAUAUAAUGACAAGGAGGCA